GCAAACUUGGUCAUUUAGAGGAAGUAAAAGUCGUAACAAGGUUUCCGUAGGUGAACCUGCGGAAGGAUCAUUAUUGAAUACACUUGGUUAGGUUGCUGCUGGCUUUUUGAAGCAUGUGCACACCUACACCAAUUUCAACCACCUGUGCACAUUGUGUAGAUCUUGCUUGAGGAAUAGAUAUUUAUUUAUCUGUUCUCACAUUCAAGUGUCUACAUUUAUAAUAUCACUCCAUAAGAAUGUAUCAGAAUGUUUUUAAUAAUAGGCCUUUUUGUGUCUAACAAUUAUAAACAACUUUCAACAACGGAUCUCUUGGCUCUCGCAUCGAUGAAGAACGCAGC
rnacentral:misc_RNA from 1 species